rnacentral:rRNA from 1 species
GACGUACGCUGGCGGCGUGCCUAAUACAUGCAAGUCGAGCGAUGAUUAAAGAUAGCUUGCUAUUUUUAUGAAGAGCGGCGAACGGGUGAGUAACGCGUGGGAAAUCUGCCGAGUAGCGGGGGACAACGUUUGGAAACGAACGCUAAUACCGCAGAACAAUGAGAAUGGCAUGAUUAUUAUGUGAAAGAAGCAAUUGCUUCACUACUUGAUGAUCACGGGUUGUAUUAGCGAGUUGGUAGGGUAAAGGACUACCAAGGCGAUGAUACAUAGCCGACCUGAGAGGGGGAUCGGCCACACUGGGACUGAGACACGGCCCAGACUCCUACGGGAGGCAGCAGUAGGGAAUCUUCGGCAAUGGGGGCAACCCUGACCGAGCAACGCCGCGUGAGUGAAGAAGGUUUUCGGAUCGUAAAACUCUGUUGUUAGAGAAGAACGUUAAGUAGAGUGGAAAAUUACUUAAGUGACGGUAUCUAACCAGAAAGGGACGGCUAACUACGUGCCAGCCGCCGCAGUAA